rnacentral:rRNA from 1 species
GACGAACGCUGGCGGCGUGCUUAACACAUGCAAGUCGAACGGAAAGGCCCUGCUUUUGUGGGGUGCUCGAGUGGCGAACGGGUGCGUAACACGUGAGUAACCUGCCCUUGACUUUGGGAUAACUUCAGGAAACUGGGGCUAAUACCGGAUAGGAGCUCCUGCUGCAUGGUGGGGGUUGGAAAGUUUCGGCGGUUGGGGAUGGACUCGCGGCUUAUCAGCUUGUUGGUGGGGUAGUGGCUUACCAAGGCUUUGACGGGUAGCCGGCCUGAGAGGGUGACCGGGCACAAUGGGACUGAGAUACGGACCAGACUCCUACGGGAGGCAGCAGUGGGGAAUAUUGCACAAUGGGCGGAAGCCUGAUGCAGCAACGCCGCGUGCGGGAUGACGGCCUUCGGGUUGUAAACCGCUUUCGCCUGUGACGAAGCGUGAGUGACGGUAAUGGGUAAAGAAGCACCGGCUAACUACGUG